UACGUAGGGUGCAAGCGUUGUCCGGAAUUAUUGGGCGUAAAGAGCUCGUAGGCGGUCUGUCGCGUCGGCUGUGAAAACCCGGAGCUCAACUCCGGGCCUGCAGUCGAUACGGGCAGACUGGAGUUCGGCAGGGGAGACUGGAAUUCCUGGUGUAGCGGUGAAAUGCGCAGAUAUCGGGAGGAACACCAAUGGCGAAGGCAGCUUGCUGGGACGGUACUGACGCUGAGGCGCGAAAGCGUGGGGAGCAAACAGG
rnacentral:rRNA from 1 species